rnacentral:tRNA from 1 species
GGGGGCGUAGUUAAGUUGGUUAUAACGCCGGCCUGUCACGCCGGAGGCCGAGGGUUCGAGUCCCUUCGCUCCCGCCA